rnacentral:rRNA from 1 species
ACGAACGCUGGCGGCGUGCCUAACACAUGCAAGUCGAGCGGAGAUGAUGUGAGGAAGUUUUCGGAUGGAAUCACAUUAUUUAGCGGCGACGGGUGAGUAACGCGUGAGCGACCAACCUUGCACAGGGGGAUAACGGACCGAAAGGUUCACUAAUACCGCAUGAGACCACGGUGUUGCAUGACACAGAGGUCAAAGGAGAGAUCCGGUGCAAGACGGGCUCGCGUCCGAUUAGGUAGUUGGAGGGUAACGCCCACCAAGCCUAUGAUCGGUAGCCGACCUGAGAGGGUGAUCGGCCACAUUGGAACUGAGAUACGGUCCAAACUCCUACGGGAGGCAGCAGUGGGGAAUAUUGGGCAAUGGGGGGAAAAACCCCCUGACCCAGCAACGCCGCGUGAAGGAAGAAGGUUUUCGGAUUGUAAACUUCUGUCCUUGGUGAAGAGAAGAAGACGGUAGCCAAGGAGGAAGCCCCGGCUAACUACGUGCCAGCCGCUGC